UACGAAGGGGGCUAGCGUUGUUCGGAUUUACUGGGCGUAAAGCGCACGUAGGCGGUUUUCCAAGUUGGAGGUGAAAUCCCUGGGCUUAACCCAGGAACUGCUCCCAAGACUGUGAGACUCGAGUCCGAGAGAGGUGAGUGGAAUUUCCAGUGUAGAGGUGAAAUUCGUAGAUAUUGGAAAGAACACCAGUGGCGAAGGCGGCUCACUGGCUCGGUACUGACGCUGAGGUGCGACAGCGUGGGGAGCAAACAGG
rnacentral:rRNA from 1 species